rnacentral:rRNA from 1 species
AGCAGCCGCGGUAAUUCCAGCUCCAAUAGCGUAUAUUAAAGUUGUUGCAGUUAAAAAGCUCGUAGUUGAAUUUCGGGAUCAAUACGUCGGUCGUGCUUCGGUACGUACUGGCGUCAUUGAUUUCUCCCUUCUGACGAACCAUGAUGUCAUUAACUUGGUGUCAUGGGAAAUCAGGACUGUUACUUUGAAAAAAUUAGAGUGUUUAAAGCAGGCUCACGCUUGAAUACAUUAGCAUGGAAUAAUGAAAUAGGACGUUCGAUCCUAUUUUGUUGGCUUUUAGGAUCAACGUAAUGAUUAAUAGGGAUAGUUGGGGGCAUUAGUAUUCAAUUGUCAGAGGUGAAAUUCUUGGAUUUAUUGAAGACUAACUACUGCGAAAGCAUUUUGCCAAGGAUGUUUUCAUUAAUCAAGAACGAAAGUUAGGGGAUCGAAGACGAUCAGAUACCGUCGUAGUCUUAACCAUAAACUAUGCCGACUAGGGAUCGGAUGAUGUUAAUUUUUUAAUGACUCA